rnacentral:lncRNA from 1 species
GGGGAGCUAUUGUCCUCCUGGGAUGCGGAGUAGGUCUCUGGCUUAUUGGCCAUUCAAAAAGAGAACAUGCCAGACACAAAGUAGUUGUUUACCAGGCUAUGACCACCAUUAAAAAGGGUGCUUCUCCCAAUAUAUGGCUGGCCUCUUUGAAAGAUCAAGAGUUCGCCCUAGAUCAUUUUUGUCACAGUCAUGUGGAGUCAUUGUAUCCAGGGACGGGCAACUUUCCUCGAGCUUGGACCAACCCAAGACACAGGGCCCGGUGGUGAUAGGGUAACCCAGCGACGGGUAAGGCCGAGUUUGGAUGAGAACGACCUAACACAGGAGCAAUGACAAGAUUGACGUGACACCCAGAUCUAGACCAGUCAUUUUAUUAAACAACAAAGGGGGAGAUGUAGGGU